GCCACCACCGCCGCCUCCUCCUCCUCCUCCUCCACCACCACCGCCACCGCCGCCACCGCCGCUCCCGUUCCUCUCCAGUCUGAGCCACUGCAGCCAGACGGCACUAGAGGGGGAUAAGGGAACCGCAACGUCACGGGCAGGAGCUGACACUACAAUGCUACUGACACUAUCGCUGUGUGAGGCGAUUGGACAGGCGGGAAGCGGAGAGGGCGGGAGGAGGAUGUCUUAACAGUCUCCCUUCCUCGCCCCCCCCACCCCCGCCCUCGUCCUCCCUUCCUUCUCCCCUCCUUUCCCUCGCCCCUCCCCCUCUCCCCCCCGCCGCAAACGCCUCUCUUUGUUGUCUAAUGCAGAACAAUAAAGACUCGAGACACUUGUUUGUAUCUAUCAACCAGGGAUAAAUCAUUGUUUCCAUAUGUCCCUUCGCUGUUCCUUAUUUUAAAGGGGGAAACGUGCUGAACUUUUUUUUUUUUUUUUUGGUAAUUGUAUAAAGGGGCCCGAGUCUAAUGGACCGUCUCCCAUAAACUACUUUUUCCUACUCCUCGUAAAUCACUUUCAAAGAGGAAAGGUGCGUCUUGGAGAAGGCCUAUUGUCUGUCCAACCCGGCGUUACGCUCAUCACUGAAGCCUGGACAAAGAAAACUUGAGUGGGGGCAGACUUAUUCUGGCCAAGUGUUAGGAGAUGAAAGAAAAAGGGUAAUCGGAAACACCGCCUGGAAAGCUGCCUACCUUCACAAAAAAUGCACAUGACAAUAGAAGAAGCUUGCAACGGAACUCGCGCGCGCCCACGAACACGCGCGCACACAUAUAUCACACACGCACAUACAAGCCGCAACGGUGAUCACUAUUUCAUUUCAACCCGUUUCGAUAACGCUUCGACAAGACUAGGCGUGCACCUAAGGUCAGAAAGAGCACCUGCCUGCUCUAGGGAUAAUGAUCAGUUUCUGAAACUGAUCGGUUUCAUUCCGGACUCCCGCGGAACAGACCAUCGCCCAGCUUGCACAGACAAAUGCAAAGCUGCCCUAGUGCAAUUCGGGUGAAUGGGGCAUGCGCGCCGGGUCGCCUGGAGCAAGCGAGGCAUGCGCGGUGCCGCCCCACCACCACCCCACUACCCCCACCCCCCGUCUCGGGUUUAAGUAGGAGGAGGAGAACUGUAGCUUUAAGACUGGGACUGCAUACUCGGGAAGAAGGCUGGACCCGGGAGCCGUCCUCAGCCGCCCCAGGCUCCUCCCCGGCGGGAGCCGCAGCUUCGGCUCUCUGGGGUGUGCGCCUGCCCGCCCUCCUGCCUUCCUUGCCCUCCCACCCCUAGUCUACUGCUACGAGCCGCGUCCUCCCGGGGCAGAGCUCGUGUGCGCGGUCUUUGUGCUGUCUGCGGGAAUGAGGAUGGGGAGAGGGUGGAGGAUGGGAUGGACAGGCUGACCCGCCCGCGCGGACGCACUCUGGGGUCUAGUGGAGUGUGCAGUCCUUCUGGAUGCGUCCCUCCUCCCCACGGUGGUGGGGGGCCUGGGUCCCCGGUGUGAGCGGGAGGCGGGGCGAAGGAGGACGCGUGUCCUUGUCCCUAGGGUUUUAGGAAAGGCAAAGAGAAGGAGCGAGCCAACCCUUUCUAGUCAAGAAAGCUGUCCCCAUCUCUGGUCCAGAUGCUGGACGGGAGUCCGCAAAACCUGCCAGCCCCCAAGCAACGGCUGUCGGACUGCGGCCGGAGUAAGGGUGGGAGGGCAGGCAGGGAGCCCAGUGGUGCCCGCCUUUGUCGCUCUGUCCCUCCCGCAGGCUGCCCUUCCAUCCCUCCCGGCCCCCGACAGCUUUCUAAGCCUUCCGCAGGGCCGUGGCUGGGGCAGGCUGGGAAGGAAGGCGUGACCGCUUAGGGGUCUGGACCGCUUUCCUGGGGCGGUUGGUCGAGUACUAGCAGACCCAUUGGCUGGGGGAGGGCGAGAGAGGAGGGACGCGAACUCUCGAGUAGCCUCGUGUCACUCUCAUGCGGGCGGGAACUCGGACUCUCCCUCCCCCACUCGCGUCCUCCUGGCUUCUGACCUGGGAGCCAGACAUCCGUUUCCACACACGCGCUUUUCUCCAUUUCUCUUUCCCUUUGUUCCGUCCUGCGCCGUUUAAUACCCUGGCUGCUUUCCUCCCACCGGGGUCAGCCCCUCGCUUUACAGUUGCCUCACAGCCUCCAGGGUUCAGACUCUCAUUCUAAAGCGAUCCAUUUUUCAGUGCCGUGAUGACGAGGCUUUUACACAUCUCCAAAAUCUCAAAUAUGUAAGCGCUUUGAAACGAACAAAGCGCUCCACUAGCAGCCAAGUAUAAUAGUGGCAGAGAUGCUGAUCUUAGGAAUGAGAAUUCAGUUACUUUCUCUGCCCGAACUCCAGAGGAGAUAAAGUGCUUAAUUUCUAUUCAUCACUUUCAUCACGCCGGGUAGAGAUAGGAUCUCGAAGGGAAGUCCACUCGAGAGCCGAUUUGAAGGGUAGGGUGCUGAUAAUGCCCCUGAGGGCACUGAGUGAAACAAGUCACAGAAAUCUCUUCAAAGCAGUUAGCAGAGCGCCCCGCUUUCUAAACAGAAAGAUAACCCCUCAACUCCUCAAGUACCUAGUGAGAAAGAAGAAGAGGAAAAAUCCAGAAAGCAGAGACAGUGAAGAGGAAAAAGAAGAGAAAUCUAUCUUUGUCUCCCCCUCCUUCCCAUAUUCCCAAUGAAGGAAUGCUAGCUUCCCAUGUGACUUUGAGUAACCCACUCCAGUUUCUCCACACCUGUUUACGAUCUGUAAAACGAAGGGCCUGAAUGAGGUGACUUCUGGGGUCCUUUCUAGCUUGUAAGUCUGGUAUCUAUCUAUGGGACCUAAUAUCCCUUUCUCAGCGAUCCCCUCAUUCCAACUCACCCCUUCUAAGUCUUAUCCCAGCUAUGGCAAACUCCGGCUCUCUGACAAAUAGACCCAGUAGAUGCAAUAGCCAUAGAUAGACAUAACUGUUCCAGCAGAUACUGGGCAAGUUUUGAGUAACACAGAUGCUACUGUCUGCACAGUUGUGUAUUUCUGAAGGAGGGGGGAUCUCCGUACCACAGACACCACUGUUCCUGCAUUAGCUGCAUCUGCGACUGGAGUUAGUAUGCCAUAUGUGCUCUGGCCCUGGCAGAUGUUGGGUGGCUUCAAGCACCAGAGGCAGUACUGUCCUCCCAGAGCCACAUCUGCAAGGAAAUUAAAUUGCCUUAACAUUACUGUGCCAGCUGAACUCUAUAAGCAUAUUCAAAAUAUACAAAUAGGUUAAAAAAAAUGAACCCACUGAAAAUCACUCUAAAGGAAACAGCAUUCAGUCAUCAGACAUUCACAAAAAUUGUCAACUCUGGUGCUCCCUUCAUUUCAAAGAAUAUUCAUUAUAGCACCUUCACUUUGAGAACCCAGUUUUCCCAGGUCCGCAUUUCUUCUCAGAAAGGUAAAAAGGUGAAAAUCUUCAUCAUGUUUUGAACUACUAGAACUUUCAUUUUUAAAAAAAGUCCUAAUAUUUUAUGCUAUAUCAUAAAUCCUAAUAUUGGCCUUAGAAUGCAUGCUACAAAAAAAGUGAAGAAUUAUAGGAUUUUAUACAGGAUUUAAAAGUUACUUAGGUCUAUGGUUCUCAUUUUUUAAAUGUUUUUUAAGUAAAAUUCUUUAAAAAAAAAAAAAACUACCUCCCAAAAGUAGACUACAAUUAAGGACGGAUAUUAUAUAUACAUAUAUGUGUGUGUAUAUACCUGCCCACAGACUCACACACAUACACAAAUAAACAUUUGUAUAUGUAUAUAUACAUACAUACAUACAUACGUAGGCAUUCACACAUACAUAUCCAAACAUGCUCAGGAACAUAUGCAUAUGCAUUUACCAUAUGUAAACAUAACUCAUUUAUAUUAUUAUCCUUAAAAAUUAUUGAGGCUCAAAGAGAUCAUUAUUAAAAAGGAAAAAGGACCCACAUGUGCAAAAAUGUUUGUGGCAGCCCUCUUUGUAGUAGCAAGAAACUGGAAACUGAGUGGAUGACCAUCAAUUGGAUAAUGGCUGGGUAAAUUGUGGUAUAUGAAUGUUAUGGAAUAUUAUUGUAAUGUAAGAAAUGACCAGCAGAAUGAUUUCAGAGAGGCCUGGAGAGACUUACAUGAAUUGACGUGGAGUGAAAUGUGCAGAACCAGGAGAUCAUUGUUACACAGCAACAGCAAGAUUAUAUGAUGGUCAACUCUGUUGGACGUGGCUUUCCAACAAUGAGGUGAUUCAGGCCAGUUCCAAUGGUCUUGUGAUGAAGAGAGCCAUCUUCAGCCAGAAAGAGGACUGUGGGAACUGAAUGUGGAUCACAAUGUAGUGUGUUCACUCUUUUUGUUUGCUUGUAUUUUUCUCUUUCUAUUUUUCUUUUUGAUCUGAUUUUUCUUGUGCAACAUGAUAAUUUUGGAAAUAUGUAUUGAAAAAUUGCACAUGUUAACAUAUAUUGGAUUAUUGGUUUCUUGCAAGGGUAAAUGUUGAAAACUAUCUUUGCAUAUAUUUGAAAAUAAAAAGCAAUUAUUUAAAAUAAUUAUUGAGGACUUCCAAAGAUCUUUUGCUUAUGAGGAUUCCCUCUAUUGUUACUUGCCAUCUUAAUAUUAUUGUAAAAAUAGUUUUAACUUUGAGGAUGGUCUUUCCUUCCCCCCACAGUGUGUCUGAGAUGCCCAGGGAUCCCCAGGCCUCUUAAGAAGCUGAUCUAGUCCCA